ACAUUUGCCUGGCGCAGAGGCUACCGUGAUCAGAAAGACGCUUCCUCCCGGGUGAUGCUCUUUCAUUGCACUACGGUUGAGCUGACCCUUGCGAAUACUCCUAAAGUGGGUAUCUUGGGCGUAUAAGUUUUGGUAGUAAAAUGCUGACUGGCAUUUAAUCA
rnacentral:snRNA from 1 species